rnacentral:rRNA from 1 species
UCGAGAAUUUUUCUCAAUGGGGGAAACCCUGAAGGAGCGACGCCGCGUGGAGGAUGAAGGUUUUCGGAUUGUAAACUCCUGUCAUGAGAGAACAAACUUAUCGAGAGUAACUGCUUGAUAAUUGAUAGUACCUCAAGAGGAAGGGACGGCUAACUCUGUGCCAGCAGCCGCGGUAAUACAGAGGUCCCAAGCGUUGUUCGGAUUCAUUGGGCGUAAAGGGUGCGUAGGCGGCGCCAUAAGUCGGAUGUGAAAUCUCGGGGCUCAACCCCGAAACUGCAUUCGAUACUGCGGUGCUAGAGGACUCGAGAGGAAACUGGAAUUCACGGUGUAGCAGUGAAAUGCGUAGAUAUCGUGAGGAAGACCAGUGGCGAAGGCGGGUUUCUGGACAGUGCCUGACGCUGAGGCACGAAGGCCAGGGGAGCAAACGGGAUUAGAUACCCCCGUAGUCC